UACGUAGGGUGCAAGCGUUGUCCGGAAUUAUUGGGCGUAAAGAGCUCGUAGGCGGUCUGUUGCGUCGGCUGUGAAAACCCGGGGCUCAACUCCGGGCCUGCAGCCGAUACGGGCAGACUAGAGUUCGGCAGGGGAGACUGGAAUUCCUGGUGUAGCGGUGAAAUGCGCAGAUAUCAGGAGGAACACCGGUGGCGAAGGCGGAUCUCUGGGCCAUUGACUGACGCUGAGGAGCGAAAGCGUGGGGAGCGAACAGG
rnacentral:rRNA from 1 species